GCCCCAGCCCCAGGAUCCCAAGGUGACCCGAUUCAGGGAUCAGGACACAACACAGACAAACCACCAUGGAGUCUGUGCUCGGCUGGGUAUUCCUUGUCGCUAUUUUAAAAGGUGUCCAGGGUGAGGUGCAGCUGGUGGAGUCUGGGGGAGACCUGGUGAAGCCUGGGGGGUCCCUGAGACUCUCCUGUGUGGCCUCUGGAUUCACCUUCAGUAGCUACAGCAUGGACUGGGUCCGCCAGGCUCCAGGGAAGGGGCUGCAGUGGGUCGCAUACAUUAGGUAUGAUGGAAGUAGCACAUACUACACAGACGCUGUGAAGGGCCGAUUCACCAUCUCCAGAGACAACGCCAAGAACACGCUGUAUCUGCAGAUGAACAGCCUGAGAGCCGAGGACACGGCCGUGUAUUACUGUGCGAGGGACACAAGAAAAGCACAUCCAAACACAAUCAGCUGCUACUUUACACAACAGACAAUGGUGAAAAUUAAUAAGAAAUAA